UACGUAGGUGGCAAGCGUUGUUCGGAAUUAUUGGGCGUAAAGGGCGCGUAGGCGGUCUUGUAAGUCAGCUGUGAAAGCCCGGGGCUCAACCCCGGAGGGUCGGCUGAUACUGCAGGACUGGAGUACGGAAGAGGUAGCUGGAAUUCCCGGUGUAGCGGUGAAAUGCGCAGAUAUCGGGAGGAACACCAAUGGCGAAGGCAGCUCGCUGGGACGUUACUGACGCUGAGACGCGAAAGCGUGGGGAGCAAACAGG
rnacentral:rRNA from 1 species